rnacentral:rRNA from 1 species
UACAGAGGGUGCAAGUGUUGUUCGGAAUUACUGGGCAUAAAGGGUGCGUAGGUGGUUUGUUAAGUCAGGGGUGAAAUCCCGCGGCCCAACCGUGGAACUGCCUUUGAUACUGGCGAACUUGAGUGCGUGAGGGGUAGGGGGAACGAGCAGUGUAGCGGUGAAAUGCGUAGAUAUUGCUCGGAAGGCCAGAGCCGAAGGGGCCCUACUGGUGCGCAACUGACACUGAGGCACGAAAGCGUGGGGAGCAAACAGG